AGGGUUUGAUCAUGGCUCAGAACGUACGCUGGCGGCACGCCUAACACAUGCAAGUCGAACGAAGUAGCAAUACUUAGUGGCAGACGGGUGAGUAACAUGUAGGUAUCUACCCUUUGGCCUGGAAUAACACGAGGAAACUUGUGCUAAUACCGGAUAAGUCUUUACGGAGAAAGCUUUAUGCACCAUUGGAUGAGCCUGCACUUGAUUAGUUUGUUGGUGGGGUAAUGGCCUACCAAGACUGUGAUCAAUAGCUGAUUUGAGAGGAUGAUCAGCCACAUUGGGACUGAGACACGGCCCAAACUCCUACGGGAGGCAGCAGUGGGGAAUCUUGCACAAUGGAGGAAACUCUGAUGCAGCGAUGCCGCGUGAGUGAAGAAGGCCCUUGGGUUGUAAAGCUCUUUCGUCGGGGAAGAAAAUGACUGUACCCGAAUAAGAAGGUCCGGCUAACUUCGUGCCAGCAGCCGCGGUAAUACGAAGGGACCUAGCGUAGUUCGGAAUUACUGGGCUUAAAGAGUUCGUAGGUGGUUGAAAAAGUUAGUGGUGAAAUCCCAGAGCUUAACUCUGGAACUGCCAUUAAAACUUUUCAGCUAGAGUAUGAUAGAGGAAAGCAGAAUUUCUAGUGUAGAGGUGAAAUUCGUAGAUAUUAGAAAGAAUACCAAUUGCGAAGGCAGCUUUCUGGAUCAUUACUGACGCUGAGGAACGAAAGCAUGGGUAGCGAAGAGGAUUAGAUACCCUCGUAGUCCAUGCCGUAAACGAUGUGUGUUAGACGUUGGAAAUUUAUUUUCAGUGUCGCAGCGAAAGCGAUAAACACACCGCCUGGGGAGUACGACCGCAAGGUUAAAACUCAAAUGAAUUGACGGGGACCCGCACAAGUAGUGGAGCAUGUGGUUUAAUUCGAAGAUACGCGCAGAACCUUACCAACACUUGACAUGUUCGUCGCGACUCUAAGAGAUUAGAGUUUUCGGUUCGGCCGGACGAAACACAGGUGCUGCAUGGCUGUCGUCAGCUCGUGUCGUGAGAUGUUGGGUUAAGUCCCGCAACGAGCGCAACCCUCACUUUUAGUUGCCAUCAUUUAGUUGGGCACUCUGAAAGAACUGCCAGUGAUAAGCUGGAGGAAGGUGGGGAUGACGUCAAGUCCUCAUGGCCCUUACGUGUUGGGCUACACACGUGCUACAAUGGUAUCUACAACAGGAAGCAAGACUGCGAGGUCAAGCAAAUCCUUAAAAGAUACCUCAGUUCGGAUUGCACUCUGCAACUCGAGUGCAUGAAGCUGGAAUUACUAGUAAUCGUGGAUCAGCGUGCCACGGUGAAUGCGUUCCCGGGUCUUGUACACACCGCCCGUCACACCAUGGGAGUUGGUUCUACCUUAAGGCAAGGUUUAAAACCCUUGACCACGGUAUAGUCAGCGACUGGGGUGAAGUCAUAACAAGGUAGCCGUA
rnacentral:rRNA from 1 species